rnacentral:lncRNA from 1 species
AUAGGGCUACUGAAACACAAGGUGACGAGAACUAUUAGGCAAUUGAGUGCAUUCCCUGCAGGGCUGCUCCCACUUCUAUCUGACUUGGGUCUAGAUGACUCAAGUGAUUCCCGAGGGGAAAAUAAUCUAUGUGGAACAGCUGUCAUGAGCAGGCCUUCUGCUGCUCUUCAGCCUCAAUUUCAGCCUGCUACUUCCCGUGACAUCAUUCAGUGAUUCCUCCCUUUAAGGGGACAGUUUUCUCUUGUAUUACAGGUGACUACUUGAAGGUGGCUAGACGAGAGCAUACUGCCACCACUCUUUAUUUGGAGGCCUGUAACCUGUCUUGAGUGUGUUGCAGGAAGACUCAGUUACAGUGUUCCCUGAAUAUGUAGCUUUCCAUUACAAUAGUAUGCAAGCCAAGAUGAAACCACCUCUGUUUGGGUUUCAGCAGCUGUCUGCCUACGGAAGGCUCCAGAGUCCCUGACGCAUAUUUAUAUCUCCACUUCACUGAAGUCACAAGGAACAAACACGUUCACAGGAAGCACCUGGCACACAGUAACUAUUAUUA